UUGCUAAUGAAUUGAAUUCUCUAUACUUACUUGCUAACUAUAUUGAGGUUAAUUUUUUCGGUUGUUACUUUGCCUAUUAUUUUGUAGAUAUAUGUUGAGUUCAACAUUUACAUUUAGGAUUUGUAGUCUCUGCAUUUAAAAUACAGAUGUAAUGUUCCUCUGCUGUUGAUGAAUCAUGUAAGUACACAAAAUGAGCCAACCAUGGUCAGGUAUCUUUCAUGUGAAGUUAAAUUUAUAUUCUCUGAAGCUUGUAUUGCACUAAAAACAUUACACAUUUAUCUUUAUUUUGUUGCAGGCGCUAAUUGAUUAUAUUAAAAGUGACUUUGACAUCAAUGUUCACUGAGAACAUUACACACGCUGAACGGGUUCGGGUCAGUUUCAGGUUGAACCCGCGAACCCGUUUAGGUUAACGGGUCGGGUUCGGGUCAACCUGGUCGGGUUAGCGGGUUGACCCGUUUAACACAUUUAUAUUAUAUUAUAUUUUUUUGCAAUAUGUUUUGUGUCAUAAAUUAAAUGGGGUAUGUUUUUAUUCCAUAAUUAUUACUUAAAAAGAGAAAUUAAUAUAAGAUUUUGUAAUUUAAAUAUAACUGUGUUACAUACAUUUGUGUUUUUUAAUUAAAAUUUAAUUUUAAUAUAGUUAUUUCAGAAAAUAAAAUAAAAAAUAAAAAAAUUCGGGUUAAACAGAUUGUGUUCGGGACUUCGGGUCAACCCGCAAAUUUCGGGGUCGUGUUCGGGGUCAUAUGAAUGAUACGAUUUUUGGGUUCGGGUUCGUGUAAAAUUUUCGGGUUCGGGUCGGGUUAAACCCGCUAACCGGCGAACCCGACCCGUUUAGCACCCCUAAUUGAAGGUUUGAACCAUUCCUUAUUAAUAUUCUUUUAGCCCAAUCUUCUGAGGCUCUCAAAUUGGCAAUAUGGACAGGCAUGCGGGCUGAGUGACAGCUCCAAUCAAGCCCGGGUCAAAACAUAUCAUACUAGGCAGUUCAUUCAGGUGCAUAUAUUGAGUCUGCAAUAACAAAAUGCAUGGGCGAUAAAUCAUCUUCGGGUUUUUAUCCUCAAUAGAAGCGUCCGUUGACAAUGAUAUUCUUCUUUGUGAUGGUUUGUGUGAAGUUGAUACCGUCAAUUUUGUUUGGAUCUACCUCUAUUGAAAGCGCAAGAUUUUACUUUUGAAUCCAGAUGAUCUUGGUUAUAUGAACAAUGAAGUAGCAUCAACAUAAGAUAAGGGCUUGAUAUGCCUGGAGAUAAACAAGAGUUACCAGAUUCGCAUAUGACCCCAUAACUGCAAAGAGAAAUGUUGAGAGACUAGAGUACAAAACACUGUAUGAGGUGAGUUUUCACCUUUAUAAAGUUUGGUUGAGUUGGGUUGGGUUGUAUUUGAUCUUAAUCGGUCCAAUUUAAAAGAUUAAAACUAGCUCAAACGUAUUGAGUAAAAGAAAAGCUCAAAUGGGCUGAAAGUGGCAUCAGAAAUGGGAAAUCGGGAGACACAGUGGCAGAUCUAGGGGGUUCCUAGGUUCCCAGGAACCCCCCGGUUUGGAAAAAAAGUAGUGGAAACCUUGGAUGAUUUAGGAUAAAUUAGUGAGAAUCUACCAAAAGGAUACCCCUGGAAAAUCCGCCACUAGGGAGGCAACAACAACAUGGGGUUGAGACGGUUUUUCAAUCACAAUCAAGCUUCUUCGAGUUCUAUUACCGGAGGGAAACGUGAAAAACCCGACAAUGGAUGGGAAUUAUUCCCUAUGAACUACAAGCAUCAACAACCACCAUGGCAAUAGAGGUUCGUUCAUGUUGUUACUAUACAAUACAUCAACGUAACCCGUCCACCGGACGGGUAUUCAAGCCUGCAAAACUUAUGCAAAAAAGGAAAUAUAUGAGUUAGCAACUAAUGCAUCAACUUAUCAAGAAGAAUAAUUGAUGAUGCUUUGUCCUUAAGCUGAUAUUUAGAGAGGUUACUUAAUAUGAAAGAAGAGGCCUUCUUUGUGUUGGGGAAACAUAAAGAUACGGUUCAAUUGUGGGGCGAAAUCUAGAUUCAUUCGAAAAGAAGUUUGCAACUGACUCAAAGUUUUGGAGGUGGAACCUGAUGUAAAAAUCUUACUUUCCCCUGGAUAGGCUUGAGAUAGCUCUUAACUUCAUUGAGAACAUGAGCAGUUGAGAUCUACCCCAAACAAAUAAUGCACAUUAUUUUAUUUUUAUAGUUCUUUCAAAGACUAUCAGUUGACUUUAUCAAAAAAGAACUUCUUUGUAGUCAAGUAUCAUGCGUGUUAGUCUUUUUUAAUCAAUCCAUCUUUAUGCCCCUUGUCUACCAUACAUGACUAUUACUUAACCUUUUCAUUUUAAGGAGUGCGUAACCAUUUCACGUUUCAAUG